GACGGAAGCCGGCGGGCGUGCCCUAAUCCAUGCAAGUAGAACGCUGAAGGAAGGAGCUGGCUCUUUCCGGAUGAGUUGCGAACGGGUGAGUAACGCGUAAGGUAACCCUGCCUGGUAGCGGGGGAUAACUUUUGGGAAACGAUAGCUAAUACCGCAUAACAGUAGAUAUCGCAUGAUAUUUGCUUGAGAGGGUGCAAUUGCACCACUACCAGAUGGACCUGCGUUGUAUUUAGCUAGUUGGUGAGGGUAAACGGCUCACCAAGGCAACGAUACAUAGCCCGACCUGAGAGGGGUGAUCGGCCCACACUGGGGACUGAGACACGGCCCCAGACUCCUACGGGAGGCAGCAGUAGGGAAUCUUCGGCAAUGGACGGAAGUCUGACCGAGCAACGCCGCGUGAGUGAAGAAGGUUUUCGGAUCGUAAAGCUCUGUUGUAAGAGAAGAACGAGUGUGAGAGUGGAAAGUUCACACUGUGACGGUAUCUUACCAGAAAGGGACGGCUAACUACGUGCCAGCAGCCGCGGUAAUACGUAGGUCCCGAGCGUUGUCCGGAUUUAUUGGGCGUAAAGCGAGCGCAGGCGGUUAGAUAAGUCUGAAGUUAAAGGCUGUGGCUUAACCAUAGUACGCUUUGGAAACUGUUUAACUUGAGUGCAAGAGGGGAGAGUGGAAUUCCAUGUGUAGCGGUGAAAUGCGUAGAUACAUGGAGGAACACCAGUGGCGAAAGCGGCUCUCUGGCUUGUAACUGACGCUGAGGCUCGAAAGCGUGGGGAGCAAACAGG
rnacentral:rRNA from 1 species